rnacentral:lncRNA from 1 species
UAUUUAGUUAUACAAAAUUAAUAAGAACUAAUUUGAAAAAAUAAGUAGAUAUGCAACUAAAAAUAAAUUUUGCUUUAAAUUGUUGUUGCACCCGUACCUUAUUUUAUGUUAAAGUUACUUUCAUCCAUUGAAUUUAAGAAAUAUAAAAAUCAAUGAUCCAUAGCUAUUGGCUGUUUGUUACAAUACUUGUAACAUAAGCUUUGCCCAUUUUGAUUUGCCCUAAUAGAAUAAAGCGAGAGCUCACGCUCUUUGUUUCGCGUGGGAUACAUGAUGAUUUUUAUUAAAUUAGACUUAAUUAUUGAAACAUGCAUUUUUUUAUGCUUAAGAAGAAUUUAAAUACCUUUUAAAUAUUCUUUUAUAAUACCAUUUAAAUAUUUGUAAUAAAAUCACUCUGAAGAUGCACACUACUUAAACUUAUGUCCACUUGAAUGGAACAGAAAUAGUUUACCAUCGUGUGUAUUGAAUUGUUUUUAUCUUUUUACUUUGUGAUGUGUUCUAACAUUAAUUUAACUCUUAAAUAUUUAGUAAGCUCACCACACACUUAAGUUUGGUAAUAUCUAACUUUGAGUAAUAAGAAAAAUUCAUGCAUUAUUGUUUGAAUGUCACAUCAUUUAUAAUAAAAUUUUAGAAUAAAAUAAUUUU